CCCUGCAUUACGCUUUGUGAUCCCUAAACACCUUCGCUCGGCUGUUCUCCACGAACUUCACGACCUCUCCACUGCUGGUCACCUGGGUGUGUCACUUACCUACGACCGGAUCCGCCAACGCUUCUUUUGGCCAAGGCUUGCUCACUCUGUUCGAAGAUACAUAGCUGCGUGUGAGAAAUGCCAGCGAAGCAAUACCUCUCGAUGCUCCCUGCUGGGUACCUUCAACCACUCGACAUUCCCGCGGAACCAUUCUUUCGGGCUCCAAGAUGCUGCUCACAUUUGAUCACCACUUUGGACUCUAUUGUCUCUGGACGUACAAGUCAACAGUCAAUGUGUCACCACAGAGCCAGAAUCCUCACAAGGAAGAAGGACAAAAGAGAGAUUAUUGGUUUGCAAGCUGCCCACGCCAAGCCAUAAGAAGCUCUACAGUCACUAUAAUGAACACAGGUCUUCUUGAACUACGCGCCUCACCAUGAAAUGUUUGCAAAUUUACCAGAUAGAGGGCUGUGCGCACUAUCAGGAAAGCAGCAGUCUAGUUUAGUGUGGUACCGAGCGGGAAUGCUAAAAUUUGACAUACAAGUUUACUUGAUUAUAAGGGCGUUUUAUGACAAUCGGAGAAGUAACAAGUUGAGUCCCAACUUGUUUCUUUUCUUGUCAUGUAGCAAGCUCCUACUUGGUAAUGCACAAACUCUGUCAUCUGCUAUUUGCGAAUCAGAUUGACGAGCAUUACCACCAAGUAUCACAUGCUCCCUCAUAGCGUUAGUUUGUUACAUGAAACUGCAAAGAAUUUGAAAGCCUUCAAAACCGCUCAGUGCAA